UACAGAGGUCUCGAGCGUUAGGCGGAAUCACUGGGCUUAAAGCGUGUGUAGGUGGAUGCCUAAGUACCUUGUGAAAUCCCACAGCUUAACUGUGGAACUGCUUGGUAUACUGGGUGUCUUGAGUCACUCAGGGGCGAGCGGAACAAAUGGUGGAGCGGUGAAAUGCGUUGAUAUCCUAAGGAACACCCGUGGCGAAAGCGGCUCACUGGGUCUCUUCUGACGCGUGAGGCACGAAAGCUAGGGUAGCGAACGGGG
rnacentral:rRNA from 1 species